AGUGAACGCUGGCGGUAGGCCUAACACAUGCAAGUCGAACGGCAGCACAGUAAGAGCUUGCUCUUACGGGUGGCGAGUGGCGGACGGGUGAGGAAUACAUCGGAAUCUACUUUUUCGUGGGGGAUAACGUAGGGAAACUUACGCUAAUACCGCAUACGACCUACGGGUGAAAGCAGGGGAUCUUCGGACCUUGCGCGAUUGAAUGAGCCGAUGUCGGAUUAGCUAGUUGGCGGGGUAAAGGCCCACCAAGGCGACGAUCCGUGGCUGGUCUGAGAGGAUGAUCAGCCACACUGGAACUGAGACACGGUCCAGACUCCUACGGGAGGCAGCAGUGGGGAAUAUUGGACAAUGGGCGCAAGCCUGAUCCAGCCAUACCGCGUGGGUGAAGAAGGCCUUCGGGUUGUAAAGCCCUUUUGUUGGGAAAGAAAAGCAGCAGGUUAAUACCCCGCUGUUCUGACGGUACCCAAAGAAUAAACACCGGCGAACUUCGU
rnacentral:rRNA from 1 species